CAGAGAUGGCUUAGUGCUCGAAAGAGAGCCGUAACACAGGUGCUGCAUGGCUGUCGUCAGCUCGUGUCGUGAGAUGUUGGGUUAAGUCCCGCAACGAGCGCAACCCUUGUCAUUAGUUGCUACGAAAGGGCACUCUAAUGAGACUGCCGGUGACAAACCGGAGGAAGGUGGGGAUGACGUCAAGUCCUCAUGGCCCUUAUAGGUGGGGCUACACACGUCAUACAAUGGCCGGUACAAAGGGUCGCAAACCCGCGAGGGGGAGCUAAUCCAUCAAAGCCGGUCGUAGUCCGGAUCGCAGUCUGCAACUCGACUGCGUGAAGUCGGAAUCGCUAGUAAUCGUGGAUCAGCAUGUCACGGUGAAUACGUUCCCGGGUCUUGUACACACCGCCCGUCACACCAUGGGAGCGGGUCUCGCCAGAAGUAGUUAGCCUAACCGCAAGGAGGGCGAUUACCACGGCGGGGUUCGUGACUGGGGUGAAGUCGUAACAAGGUAGCCGUA
rnacentral:rRNA from 1 species